rfam:Gossypium arboreum cultivar AKA8401 contig_9947_3, whole genome shotgun sequence.
AACCCAUGGUGAGGGCAUCUUUUUAAUAAGUUCUUGUAUCUCUCCCAUGUAUUAUAAAGAGUUUCUAUAUCUAUCUGCAAAAAAUAAGAGAUAUCAUUCCUUAGUUU